GUUGACAACAUGGCUGAAUGUGAGAGAUUGAGACAGGAGAAAAUAAGAGCUGCGGAGACUCCGGGGAAAGAAGGGAAUAAUGAGGUGUCCCCUUUGGCUGUCACCUGUUGGACCACCUGGCUAUAACCUGUCAGGAGAUUCCCCAGGUGCUGCGAAGCUACAGUGAAUUCAUUGAGGAGCAUGGAAAUUGGAACUUAAUGCAGGUAAAACCAAGUACAUAAUGUUUUCUAAUUCACUUAAAAAUGUAUCUGAUGAUUUAUGCAUAUUGUGCCCACAUUGAUCACGUCCCCGCUUAUAAAUAUCUGGGCAUUUGGAUUGAUGAAAAGUUAUCUUUUAAAAGCAUAUUGAUGUGUUAGUCAUGGAGUUGAGAAUAAAAAUGGGCUUCUUUAGAAAUAGAUCAUGCCUCACCCUGAACAGCAGAAAGCAGAUUAUUCAGUCAACUUUCCUGCCAGUGCGAGACUAUGGUGACACCAUUUAUACCCCUUGACUUAUUCAAAAUAGAUGAAAUAUAUAUUUUUUUAUCAACGAUCUACACAGAAUAACCGAUAAUGACAAAGUGAAAAUAUGUUUUUAGAAUGUUUAGCAAAUUAAAUACAGAACUAUCUCAUUUACAUAAGUAUUCACACCCCUGACUCAAUGUUAGAAUCAUCAGAAAUUACAGCUGUGAGUCUUUCUGGGUAAGUGUCUAAGAGUUUUGGAUUGUACAAUAUUUGCUCAUUACUCGUUUCAAAAUUCUUCUAGCUCUGUCAAAUUGUUUGAUGAUCAUUGCUAGACAAUCAUUUUCAAGUCUUUCCAUAGAUUUUCAAGCAGAUUUAAGUCAACUGUAACUCGUCCACUCAUGAACAUUCACCGUCUUCUUGAACUCAAGAGGUCCUAAUGCUCACCUUGUCAAGAUAGCUUCUUAUUCCUCAAACAUCAACAAGCAUGCCUGGAUCCUCACCAUUGUUUUGGCUCCAAACCUUCUCAGGUGUGUGUGUGUGUGUAUGUACAUCUGCCACACUGUCAUGGAGACUGGAUAACUGGCUAUGACAGAGGCCCAAACAGUGUGGCGAGUGUGUCUGUAUACUGUAUUUUCUUUGUUUCUAUGACUUUGUCCUUUUGUUGUCUGUUUUUAUCUGAUGAUAAUUCCAAUUUCAACCAGUAAGACUUUACUAAAUUAAACCAGAGGACCUCAGAUUCACCUUCCAACAGGACAAUGACACUAAGCACACAGCCAACACAAAGUAGGAGUGGCUUUGGGACAAGUCUCUGAAUGUCCUUGAGGGGCCCAGCCAGAGUUCGGACUUGAACCCUAUCGAACAGAGACCUGAAAAUAACUGUGCAGCGACGCUCCCCAUCCAACCUGACAGAGCUUGAAAGGAUCUGCAGAGAAGA